GACGUAGGGUCCGAGCGUUGUUCGGAUUCAUUGGGCGUAAAGGGUGCGUAGGCGGCGGGGAAAGUCUGAUGUGAAAUCCUGGGGCUCAACCCUGGAACUGCAUUGGAUACUUCCUUGCUAGAGUACUGGAGAGGAAACUGGAAUUUACGGUGUAGCAGUGAAAUGCGUAGAGAUCGUAAGGAAGACCAGUGGCGAAGGCGAGUUUCUGGACAGUUACUGACGCUGAGGCACGAAGGCCAGGGAGCAAACGGG
rnacentral:rRNA from 1 species